GCUUAGAAUGUGCACCCUCAUGUUUUCAAUUGAGCAGAUUCAGGAUGAGUUUCUCCCAAGAGAUUCAAUAUGUUGCCUUAAACAGAAGAACCAAGAAAAAGAGAGAACUGGCGUAUUAAAUUCAGAUAUUAUGGACAUGGUGGCUCUCUUAAGACACAAUAAUUCCACAUAAGAGAGACACUUAAAAUCUGGCCUUUGUUGGGUUAACAACAAUUUCCUUUAUUUUCAUAAUUUAUUAUUUUCUGAAUUGAAAAGAAAAACAGGUCCACAUUGGCCAAAAGACAGAAUUAGCUCAAGCCUGUGGCUUUCCAGCAAGAGUGGAACCCAAGAAAGGACACUGGCCUGACAGGUGAUUCCUCAGCGGAGAGUGUGAUGCACACAGAGAGUGCUUUAGGAAUAAUUUGGAUGAGAAAUUGUCAAGAAGAUAAAUGGCCUGAGAUCACUGUCUGGUCUUCUGCCCUGGAAUAUAAGGUCUAAGACAGAAUUUACAGAAAUCAAACUGCAGUUCCACCAUUCCUUGAUGUCCUCCCAGGUGAACUCCAGGGCUCCAUGCUCAUACUUCUAAAGCAAGCAAACUUUAAGCUAAUUAUGUACUAGCGUAUUCUCCCUUGCUGAAUUUUGGCAGGUUGCUUCUGUAAAUUAUGAAAAAUAAAUGUGAAAUAUGCAGA